GUCUCAUUUACACUUGCUAACAUUUUUUCCUUAAGUUAAUUGGAUUGUACUAGAUGAGAUUGGCUUUGGACUUCAUAGAAUUUUUGUCUUUCUUGAUCACACUUGAAUGACCUGAGUUAUGAAUUAACUAAGUUCCAUCACCCACACAUUUUCUACUUGGCCAAUUAUCUCCUUAUUCAUCCCAAUUUCCUCCAAACUCAUUGUGAAGCUAUAUUGGGAGGAGGAGGUCUAAUCAAAAUAAUUAAACCUAUGGAAGUUAUAAGAUAUGAUGAUGUUAAAUAGACGAAGCAUCCAUCAUCGUGGAUGCCUUUAAAUCAAUAAAACCUUUUAGUAAUAGGCAAGGGACCAUGUGCGUGGGGAGGUGUUGAGAACACAAAAAGAAGAGCAAACAAAAUUAAAUAAGACAUUCAUGACCCGAACUUGAAUUUUUUUUUGAUCGAAUCCAAACUUGAACCUUGAUUACGAUAUUAUGCCGCCGCCAAAAGUUUAAUACUCCACCCCGGAACAGAUUAAACUCUGGCCUAACCGCGCUAUAUCAAACACAUAUACCACCGUCACCUUGUGAUCGGCAGUUUGAUCAUGAGAAAAGGUACAAGAUUUGAUUUAAGUAACCAUCUGAAAAAUUCAUGGAAGAUUUAUAUACAUACACAGUGUCAUGCCCCAUACAGAAGCACUACACAAUAUAAUUGUUAUUUAAAAUGAUAAACACUAUCCAUAAAAACAUGGCUAUAUACACACAAAAUGAAAGAUUGAUUAAUUUACAACCUCGUAAUAUUGAAGGCUAGGUUGAAGCUAGUGAUGAUUUUCUACAUAUGGGACAAGUGGAAUGUAACACGAGCCAUGGAUCAACACAAGCAACAUGAUAAAGAUGACCACAAUCUGGAAGUAACCUCAACAUGUCACUUUCUUUAUAAUCUCCUAAGCAAAUAGAGCAACUAAUUGAAGUUGAAGAACCAUUCUUCUGAAUUUGAGAGUAUAACAGUUUCGGGUAUCCUUCAAAACUUGUGUCGGUGUGAUGACGAAGUCCUUGUUCCAUGAUUGAGUCUUCAUGACGAUGUGGUGGAAAACCGGACAAAAUAUUGAGAAUGUUUCGACUUCGUGAACUACGAAGUCGAACACAUGCAAUAACUAUUGAAAGAACCAAGAAUACGAGACCAAAUACAAGUAUUAAGAUAUAUGUGAACCCAUUUGCGUCAAAACCGUUGUUGUUGUUGUGUGGAGGUUCCGAGGUGCCGUUGUUGUCGAUGUUCAUCUUCUCGACCAAAAUUUGGAAUGUGAAUUUUAAUUUGUUUGGAAUUGGUUAUGUUAUGGGUGGCCUUUUUAACUAGCUGAAAGGUUUAACAAUUAAUUUGGCAAGCAAUUUUUUUAGGGGUAUUUGCCAAGCAAUUAUAUAUGCAUACAUGAUGAAUUCGAUGAUGUACAAAUGAGACGAGUUU
rnacentral:lncRNA from 1 species